rnacentral:rRNA from 1 species
GACGAACGCUGGCGGUGUGCUUAACACAUGCAAGUCGAACGGUAAGGCCCUUUCGGGGGUACACGAGUGGCGAACGGGUGAGUAACACGUGAGUAACCUGCCCUCAUCUCUGGGAUAACAGUCGGAAACGGUUGCUAAUACUGGAUAUGAGCCUACAAGGCAUCUUGUGGGUUGGAAAGAUUUUUUGGUUGGGGAUGGACUCGCGGCCUAUCAGCUUGUUGGUGAGGUAGUGGCUCACCAAGGCUUCGACGGGUAGCCGGCCUGAGAGGGCGACCGGCCACAUUGGGACUGAGAUACGGCCCAAACUCCUACGGGAGGCAGCAGUGGGGAAGAUUGCACAAUGGACGGAAGUCUGAGGCAGCAACGCCGCGGGCGGGAUGACGGCCUUCGGGUUGUAAACCGCUUUCAAUUGUGACGAAGCUUUUUGUGACGGUAGCAGUAGAAGAAGCACCGGCUAACUACGUG